AUGCCUUUUGAAGUUCAUCAAGAUUCUAAUUGGUGGUUUGCUAGAGUACCACUCAUGCAUUUUUGGAUUGUGGAGUUCCACUAUCCACAUAGGGUGAUGCGACAAUUUGGAUUAAGACAACCCAUUCCCCCUUCUCUUCCACGUGGUGAGGCAGAGGUUCAAAAACUUCGAAAAAUUAAACAUUCUGCAGGAAAAUCGCAUAAUUGGGAGGAAGUCCACGCCAAUUAUGUUCAAGAAUACAACCGUGUUGAUGCAAGAGUGUGGCCAGACGAUAUUCCCUUCGAUGAAGCUAGUUUACCUGAUUACAGACAUUGGUUCCAACAAAAUGGUAUGUACACAGUAUUCUUCAAUUCUCAAUGCUUGGGAGGCUUAGAUAAACCUAUCCCAUAUCCUCGAGAUAACAUCGAAUGGACUGGCUACAUGACUAGUGGUCCGCCACUGGCUCGAAUUGGGUUACGUGAGAUAAAGAAUGCCGCAUGGGGUAUUAAAUGUGCUAUUACUAGUGGAUGCAAGAAGAUAGGGAAAACUAUAUUGAGGUCCUGUGUAGGAAAUUUGUUGGAUUUGAACUUGGAGCCUAGGCUGCAAAGCAUGCUUACUGAGGCUAGGUUACCACUGAAUAUUGAAGAUAUUCCAUCUGAUGAAGAGGUUUCUGAUAUUGCUAAACCACCAAGCCCCCCAAAAGAGAGCAACUCUGAUGUGUUCAAUGAAUGGAUAUACUCCGGCAAAGGUUUUACAACAUACCUUAAGGCUGGUGAAGCGAUGAGAGAUGGGGAACCGACAACACAAGAUGUAGUUCAAGUUACCCAAUAA
rnacentral:rRNA from 1 species